AAGUCGUAACAAGGUUUCCGUAGGUGAACCUGCGGAAGGAUCAUUAUCGAGUGUAGACGUGGGGCUUUGAUGCUGGCGGUCAAACGCAUGUGCUCGAGCCCUCGCUCUUAUCCACUUAACCCCUGUGCACUUAUCCGGAGUGUCGCAGACUGGUGUCGGUUUCGACUGGCUAAGGUCUGUCUCUCUGGUCUGAUUACAAACACUUUUGUAAUGUCUUGUAGAAUGUGUUAGCCGCAUAUAGGCUGAAUUGUAAUACAACUUUCAACAACGGAUCUCUUGGCUCUC
rnacentral:misc_RNA from 1 species